rnacentral:piRNA from 1 species
UGGCAUUUGCUAUACACAUUGUCCAG